ACCUCCUCAACAGGCCAUGGCAACAAGGCCACUUCACCAUCCCUGCAGUGAUUCCUCAGUAAUUCACCACCAGAAGCACCAUCACCUUCCUUCUGUGUCCCUCCACAAAGCCAGUUGGGACUUCUAGAUAUUUUUGAAGGCAUAUUGAACUAGAUGGUGUUCUAGGGUACUAAUUUCAAGCUGUUGUUCUCCUAACCAUGCCACCAUAGCAGCAAUUUUAUUCUGAUGCAUAGAUUUGUAUAGAGAGGGUAAGAAAUUAUUCCAUGAAGUGAUCCCUUCUCAGAAUUUUAAAUAAGAAAUGGAAAAACUUUCUGUACUCUCAGAGUUUUCAUAAUUUCCCCUGGGGUAGGAGGGCAGGUGCAGAAGGGAACGGAACAAAGAUAAAGAAACAGCCACGUGGACGUGUGGUGGAAGAUCGUUUGAAGGAGGAGAAGAGCAAGUCAAAGGCCCUGAGGCAAGAGCACACUGGGCAUGUUCAAGGGGAUUCUGGGAGUUGGAAGAGGCCAACUUUUCCUACCUGCAGUUUGAAGAUUAAGGACUUAGAGAUUUGUUGAGAGGCUGCUUCCGAGAGGUUACUGAUACACUGAGGACAGGAACUACUGACUACUCUGAAUGAGGGAAAAACAUCCAGUUUGGGGUGAUCCUGUUUUGCAAUGGCAGCUGUCAGCCAUAACAUGGUGGGAAAUAACGGUAAAUAAACCUCCUGUGAUUGGCAAGAAUAUAAAAAAAGGUCGUGAAUUGUGAAUUCUUAGGUCUACUUGAGAGAAGACAUAUUUAGAAAAACAUCAAAUCAUUAAACAACCUGCUUUUGAAUAAAAUCUAAAUGAACCAAA